GGGCGCAUAGCUCAGAUGGGAGAGCGCUGCAGUCACAUUGCAGAGGUCACAGGUUCGAUCCCUGUUGCGCCCACCA
rnacentral:tRNA from 1 species